rnacentral:rRNA from 1 species
UACGAAGGGUGACAAACGGUUGGCUCGGAAUUAUUGGGCGUUAAAGCCGGCACUGUUGAUGGCGGGCUUCGCAAGUCCCGAUUGUGAAAGCCCACGGCUUAACCGUGGAAGUGCAUGGGAAAACUGCAGAGCUUUGAAGUACUUUAAGAGGAUCGGCGGAAUUCCCGGUGUAGAGGUGAAAUUCGUAGAUAUCGGGGAAGGAACACCAGUGGCGAAGGCGGCGAUCUGGGGAAAGAUACUGACGCUGAGGUGCGAAAGCGUGGGGAGCAAACAGG